rnacentral:rRNA from 1 species
GACGAACGCUGGCGGCGUGCCUAAUACAUGCAAGUAGAACGCUGAAGGAGGAGCUUGCUCUUCUGGAUGAGUUGCGAACGGGUGAGUAACGCGUAGGUAACCUGCCUGGUAGCGGGGGAUAACUAUUGGAAACGAUAGCUAAUACCGCAUAACAGUAGAUGUUGCAUGACAUUUGCUUAAAAGGUGCAAUUGCACCACUACCAGAUGGACCUGCGUUGUAUUAGCUAGUUGGUGGGGUAACGGCUCACCAAGGCGACGAUACAUAGCCGACCUGAGAGGGGGAUCGGCCACACUGGGACUGAGACACGGCCCAGACUCCUACGGGAGGCAGCAGUAGGGGAUCUUCGGCAAUGGACGGAAGUCUGACCGAGCAACGCCGCGUGAGUGAAGGAGGUUUUCGGAUCGUAAAGCUCUGUUGUAAGAGAAGAACGAGUGUGAGAGUGGAAAGUUCACACUGUGACGGUAUCUUACCAGAAAGGGACGGCUAACUACGUG